rnacentral:rRNA from 1 species
GACUCGGUGAAAUUGUAAUGCCGGUGAAGAUGCCGGAUACCGGCGACAGGACGGAAAGACCCCAUGGAGCUUUACUGUAGCGUGACAUUGGGUCUUGGUACUACACGUACAGGAUAGGUGGGAGGCUGUGGAACCAGGUCGCCAGUUUGGGCGGAGCCGUCCUUGGGAUACCACCCUUGUAGUACUGGGACUCUAACCAUAGGCCAUGACUCUGGUCUUGGGACACUGUCAGGUGGGCAGUUUGACUGGGGCGGUCGCCUCCCAAAAGGUCACGGAGGCGCUCAAAGGUUCUCUCAGUACGGUCGGAAAUCGUACGUAGAGUGUAAAGGCAAAAGCUAGCUUGAUUGCAAGACAUACAGGUCGAGCAAGGAUGACAAUCGGACUUAGUGAUCCGGUGGUUCUGCGUGGAAGGGCCAUCGCUCCACGGAUAAAAGC